AUUGAACGCUGGCGGCAGGCCUAACACAUGCAAGUCGAACGGUAACAGGAAGAAGCUUGCUUCUUUGCUGACGAGUGGCGGACGGGUGAGUAAUGUCUGGGAAACUGCCUGAUGGAGGGGGAUAACUACUGGAAACGGUAGCUACUACCGCAUAACGUCGCAAGACCAAAAAGGGGGACCUUCGGGCCUCUUGUCAUCGGAUGUGCCCAGAUGGGAUUCGCUAGUAGGUGGGGUAACGGCUCACCUAGGCGACGAUCCCUAGAUGGUCUGAGAGGAUGACCAGCCACACUGGAACUGAGACACGGUCCAGACUCCUACGGGAGGCAGCAGUGGGGAAUAUUGCACAAAGGGCGCAAGCCUGAUGCAGCCAUGCCGCGUGUAUGAAGAAGGCCUUCGGGUUGUAAAGUACUUUCAGCGGGGAGGAAGGGAGUAAAGUUAAUACCUUUGCUCAUUGACGUUACCCGCAGAAGAAGCACCGGCUAACUCCGUG
rnacentral:rRNA from 1 species